CACCGGAUCCCAUCAGAACUCCGAAGUUAAGCGUGCUUGGGCGUGAGUAGUACUAGGAUGGGUGACCUCCUGGGAAGUCCUCGUGUUGCACCCCU
rnacentral:rRNA from 1 species